AUUGAACGCUGGCGGCAGGCCUAACACAUGCAAGUCGAACGGUAACAGGAAACAGCUUGCUGUUUCGCUGACGAGUGGCGGACGGGUGAGUAAUGUCUGGGAAACUGCCUGAUGGAGGGGGAUAACUACGGGAAACGGUAGCUAAUACCGCAUAACGUCGCAAGACCAAAGCGGGGGACCUUCGGGCCUCUUGCCAUCGGAUGUGCCCAGAUGGGGUUAGCUAGUAGGUGGGGUAACGGCUCACCUAGGAGACGAUCCCUAGCUGGUCUGAGAGGAUGACCAGCCACACUGGAACUGAGACACGGUCCAGACUCCUACGGGAGGCAGCAGUGGGGAAUAUUGCACAAUGGGCGCAAGCCUGAUGCAGCCAUGCCGCGUGUAUGAAGAAGGCCUUCGGGUUGUAAAGUACUUUCAGCGGGGAGGAAGGGAGUAAAGUCAAUACCUUUGCUCAUUGACGUUACCCGCAGAAGAAGCACCGGCUAACUCCGUGCCAGCCGCCGCGGUAA
rnacentral:rRNA from 1 species